rnacentral:rRNA from 1 species
UACGAAGGGGGCUAGCGUUGCUCGGAAUCACUGGGCGUAAAGCGCACGUAGGCGGAUUGUUAAGUCAGAGGUGAAAUCCUGGAGCUCAACUCCAGAACUGCCUUUGAUACUGGCGAUCUUGAGUCCGGGAGAGGUGAGUGGAACUGCGAGUGUAGAGGUGAAAUUCGUAGAUAUUCGCAAGAACACCAGUGGCGAAGGCGGCUCACUGGCCCGGUACUGACGCUGAGGUGCGAAAGCGUGGGGAGCAAACAGG